CAACAAGCUGGCUGAACAGCCCCACCUAAUACACCAUAGCUGAUGCAUGGUGUUAGCUAGAUUGUCACUUGCUCACAUGUUAUUGCUGUUGCUGCAUUCAAGGGAGCCGUAGUGGCAGCCGACAAUAGCAAUAACACUGUUGCAAGAGACGCUAUGCCAUUGUAAUUAUGGUUUAUGCAUUGUUUGCUAAUCUGGUUCUGUGGCGUUUAUAUAGAAUACAAAAAUGAGGUGGGUUCCAUCGACAAUUUAGAAUACCAAUGCCGUCCCUUCCCCCUCAAGCCCCAAAUGGCUGCUGGAAAUUUAAGGCUGAAUUUAGAAAUUUCUUUCUGUUGAAUUACUUACAUGAAACGAAAGUAAUUUAAUACCAUUCUCCCAUUUCUCACAUUAUAUAUACUCAUUUAUUUUCACUCCAUCAAUUUUAUUCGAUUUAAAUUCAUACAAGUCUGUUCAUAUUGUUAAAUAUAAUUUUGAUAAAUUCAUAUGAAAUUAUUGUUAAAACAAUAAUGAUUGAAAUUUUUACAUUUAAGUCUAAAUUGUUAUGUGACAUUCAUCCAUCAGAUAGUGAAUUUUGAUAAAAAUAAUCUUUUACCAUUCACUAGAUGAAUAAUAUAUCAACUCAAUUGUUGGGAUCCUUAAUAUUAUUCUUUUUAAAAAUCAUGAUAUUAUUAAUUAGGAUUAUUUUAUUCAUUUUUUCCAUUAUUAAUUCAAACCCUAUCCUAAUCUUACAUGGAACACAAUACAAUAGAACACUAAUAAAAUAAUAUUAUUAGAACCAAGAAAAAUUUAUUAAUUAAGUAAUGUUAAGUAAUUGACUCAUAAUUUUGUAUGUUUAUAAUUUUAUAUAUUAAUCUAAAUCAAGAUUAAGAAAACAAAAUAUUCAAUCAAGAUUUUAAUUUAUCCAGAUUAUAUUGUAGGUACAAAAGAAUAAAGAAAGGACAUUCACUUUGCACACGUAAAUAUCAUAUAUGUUUACAUUGCAACACAUAACAAAAGUUCAUUUUAUUAGAAUGACUUGUAUAAUAAUGUAAAAUGAAAAAUGCCAAUAAAAUAUCUCAGGCUUUAUUAAGAUAUUUUUAGGACAAUAAAACAAAAGUAGCAGCCUUGUUCUCUUUCAUUUGCGACUAAUGAGGGGGGCUGCAUCGACAAUUUCAGCUUGUCCUUUUAUAAACCUUAUCCUGACAACCUCUCCUUUGCGGUUCUCUAAUUUGGAGACUAUUCACCAUAGUACAUGUCUUUCUCUAAAUGAGAAUAAUCUUUCUCUUAUCUUUGUCGGGUUUUAAUUAAGAAUUAUGAUCCUCUUUUUGUUAUUUUCUUUCCUUUCCUCUCAUUAUCAUUAUAAUAUAGUGAAAAAUGGCUGACUUAAUUAUUUACAUCAAAAUAAAAAACUCAAUCGUAGCCACUCAUUAAGCGAUGAAAGAAAUUAAAGACAAAGAGCUUCAAUUUUUUUUUCUAUUUUAAUAGAGAUGAAUGUGAAUUUAAUAUCAUUCUCCCAUUUCUCACAUCAUAUAUACUCAUUUAUUUUCACUCUAAUAAUUUUAUUCAAUUUAAAUUUAUACAAGUCUAUUCAUAUUGUUAAAUGUAAUUUCAUAUGAAUAAUUUAUACAUAUGAAAUUAUUGUUAAAACAAUAAUGAUUGAAAUUUUUACAUUUAAGUCUAAAUUGUUAUGUGACAUUCAUCCAUUAGAUAGUGAAUUUUGAUAAAAAUAAUAUUCUACCAUUCAUCUAGUGAAUGGUAAAAGAUUAUUUUUAUCAAAAUUCACUAUCUGAUGGAUGAAUGUCACAUAACAAUUUAGACUUAAAUGUAAAAAUUUCAAUCAUUAUUGUUUUAACAAUAAUUUCAUAUGUAUAAAUUAUUCAUAUGAAAUUACAUUUAACAAUAUGAAUAGACUUGUAUAAAUUUAAACAAAAGUUCAUUUUAUUAGAAUGACUUGUAUAAUAAUGUAAAAUGAAAAAUGCCAAUAAAAUAUCUCAGGCUUUAUUAAGAUAUUUUUAGGACAAUAAAACAAAAGUAGCAGCCUUGUUCUCUUUCAUUUGCGACUAAUGAGGGGGGCUGCAUCGACAAUUUCAGCUUGUCCUUUUAUAAACCUUAUCCUGACAACCUCUCCUUUGCGGUUCUCUAAUUUGGAGACUAUUCACCAUAGUACAUGUCUUUCUCUAAAUGAGAAUAAUCUUUCUCUUAUCUUUGUCGGGUUUUAAUUAAGAAUUAUGAUCCUCUUUUUGUUAUUUUCUUUCCUUUCCUCUCAUUAUCAUUAUAAUAUAGUGAAAAAUGGCUGACUUAAUUAUUUACAUCAAAAUAAAAAACUCAAUCGUAGCCACUCAUUAAGCGAUGAAAGAAAUUAAAGACAAAGAGCUUCAAUUUUUUUUUCUAUUUUAAUAGAGAUGAAUGUGAAUUUAAUAUCAUUCUCCCAUUUCUCACAUCAUAUAUACUCAUUUAUUUUCACUCUAAUAAUUUUAUUCAAUUUAAAUUUAUACAAGUCUAUUCAUAUUGUUAAAUGUAAUUUCAUAUGAAUAAUUUAUACAUAUGAAAUUAUUGUUAAAACAAUAAUGAUUGAAAUUUUUACAUUUAAGUCUAAAUUGUUAUGUGACAUUCAUCCAUUAGAUAGUGAAUUUUGAUAAAAAUAAUAUUCUACCAUUCAUCUAGUGAAUGGUAAAAGAUUAUUUUUAUCAAAAUUCACUAUCUGAUGGAUGAAUGUCACAUAACAAUUUAGACUUAAAUGUAAAAAUUUCAAUCAUUAUUGUUUUAACAAUAAUUUCAUAUGUAUAAAUUAUUCAUAUGAAAUUACAUUUAACAAUAUGAAUAGACUUGUAUAAAUUUAAAUUGAAUAAAAUUAUUAGAGUGAAAAUAAAUGAGUAUAUAUGAUGUGAGAAAUGGGAUAGGACAAUAAAACAAAAGUAGCAGCCUUGUUCUCUUUCAUUUGCGACUAAUGAGGGGGGCUGCAUCGACAAUUUCAGCUUGUCCUUUUAUAAACCUUAUCCUGACAACCUCUCCUUUGCGGUUCUCUAAUUUGGAGACUAUUCACCAUAGUACAUGUCUUUCUCUAAAUGAGAAUAAUCUUUCUCUUAUCUUUGUCGGGUUUUAAUUAAGAAUUAUGAUCCUCUUUUUGUUAUUUUCUUUCCUUUCCUCUCAUUAUCAUUAUAAUAUAGUGAAAAAUGGCUGACUUAAUUAUUUACAUCAAAAUAAAAAACUCAAUCGUAGCCACUCAUUAAGCGAUGAAAGAAAUUAAAGACAAAGAGCUUCAAUUUUUUUUUCUAUUUUAAUAGAGAUGAAUGUGAAUUUAAUAUCAUUCUCCCAUUUCUCACAUCAUAUAUACUCAUUUAUUUUCACUCUAAUAAUUUUAUUCAAUUUAAAUUUAUACAAGUCUAUUCAUAUUGUUAAAUGUAAUUUCAUAUGAAUAAUUUAUACAUAUGAAAUUAUUGUUAAAACAAUAAUGAUUGAAAUUUUUACAUUUAAGUCUAAAUUGUUAUGUGACAUUCAUCCAUUAGAUAGUGAAUUUUGAUAAAAAUAAUAUUCUACCAUUCACUAGAUGAAUAAUAUAUCAGCUUAAUUGUUGGGAUCCCUGACAUUGUUCGUUUUAAAAAUCAUGAUAUUAUUAAUUAGGAUUAUUUUAUUCAUUUUUUUCGUUAUUAAUUCAAAUCCUAUCCUAAUCUUACACGGAACACAAUACAAUAGAACACUAAUAAAAUAAUAUUAUUAUAACCAAGAAAAAUUUAUUAAUUAAGUAAUGUAACUAUUAAGUAAUUGACUCAUAAUUUUGUAUGUUUAUAAUUUUAUAUGUUGACCUAAAUCAAGAUUAAAAAAAAAUUAUUCAAUCAAGAUUUUAAUUUACCCAUAAGAAUAAAGAAAGGACAUUCACUUUGCACACGUAAAUAUCAUAUAUGUUUACAUUGCAACACAUAUCAUUAGAAUGACUUGUAUAAUAAUGUAAAAUGCAAAAUGCCAAUAAAAUAUCUCAGGCUUUAUUUUAGAGUAAUAGAAGAUAUUUUUAGGACAAUAAAACAAAAGUAGCAGCCUUGUUCUCUUUCAUUUGCGACUAAUGAGGGGGGCUGCAUCGACAAUUUCAGCUUGUCCUUUUAUAAACCUUAUCCUGACAACCUCUCCUUUGCGGUUCUCUAAUUUGGAGACUAUUCACCAUAGUACAUGUCUUUCUCUAAAUGAGAAUAAUCUUUCUCUUAUCUUUGUCGGGUUUUAAUUAAGAAUUAUGAUCCUCUUUUUGUUAUUUUCUUUCCUUUCCUCUCAUUAUCAUUAUAAUAUAGUGAAAAAUGGCUGACUUAAUUAUUUACAUCAAAAUAAAAAACUCAAUCGUAGCCACUCAUUAAGCGAUGAAAGAAAUUAAAGACAAAGAGCUUCAAUUUUUUUUUCUAUUUUAAUAGAGAUGAAUGUGAAUUUAAUAUCAUUCUCCCAUUUCUCACAUCAUAUAUACUCAUUUAUUUUCACUCUAAUAAUUUUAUUCAAUUUAAAUUUAUACAAGUCUAUUCAUAUUGUUAAAUGUAAUUUCAUAUGAAUAAUUUAUACAUAUGAAAUUAUUGUUAAAACAAUAAUGAUUGAAAUUUUUACAUUUAAGUCUAAAUUGUUAUGUGACAUUCAUCCAUUAGAUAGUGAAUUUUGAUAAAAAUAAUAUUCUACCAUUCACUAGAUGAAUAAUAUAUCAGCUUAAUUGUUGGGAUCCCUGACAUUGUUCGUUUUAAAAAUCAUGAUAUUAUUAAUUAGGAUUAUUUUAUUCAUUUUUUUCGUUAUUAAUUCAAAUCCUAUCCUAAUCUUACACGGAACACAAUACAAUAGAACACUAAUAAAAUAAUAUUAUUAUAACCAAGAAAAAUUUAUUAAUUAAGUAAUGUAACUAUUAAGUAAUUGACUCAUAAUUUUGUAUGUUUAUAAUUUUAUAUGUUGACCUAAAUCAAGAUUAAAAAAAAAUUAUUCAAUCAAGAUUUUAAUUUACCCAUAAGAAUAAAGAAAGGACAUUCACUUUGCACACGUAAAUAUCAUAUAUGUUUACAUUGCAACACAUAUCAUUAGAAUGACUUGUAUAAUAAUGUAAAAUGCAAAAUGCCAAUAAAAUAUCUCAGGCUUUAUUUUAGAGUAAUAGAAGAUAUUUUUAGGACAAUAAAACAAAAGUAGCAGCCUUGUUCUCUUUCAUUUGCGACUAAUGAGGGGGGCUGCAUCGACAAUUUCAGCUUGUCCUUUUAUAAACAACUGCAGAUUUAGUUCACCCUACAAUAAAAUCAAACCCAAAAGGUAAAAAUUAAUUGGUCGAGAGAUUGUGUUAAGAUUUUUUCUUAAUAUUGUGAUGGUAAUUAUUGAAUAAAAAUAUAAAUAAUUUAAUCUUAACAUAUAUAUACACAUAUGCCAGAGAAGAUUAUAAAAAGAAAACAAGCAAUAACAAGCUAGCUAAGAUAAGAAUUAAGGGCGUACUUAGAGCAAUCAAGAUCAUGUGUAAGUUUAUAAGGACAUUUACUCCGACAAAUAUCAGGAAGCGUAUUAACACGAUCAUAGUUGAGACCAGGGAUCCUAGCAGCACCUUCCUUCACACAAUUACAUUGGGUCCUUCUAUCUUCUGUGGUUUUUGAAGCAGCAUUCAAAGCUCUAAUGCCAUCACAACAAGCUGGUUGAACAGCCCCACCCAAUACGCCAUAGCUGAUGCAUGGUGUCAGCCAGAUUGUCACUUGCUCAC
rnacentral:lncRNA from 1 species